rnacentral:rRNA from 1 species
CAGCCGCCGCGGUAAUACGUAGGGUGCGAGCGUUAAUCGGAAUUACUGGGCGUAAAGCGUGCGCAGGCGGUUAUGUAAGACAGAUGUGAAAUCCCCGGGCUCAACCUGGGAACUGCAUUUGUGACUGCAUGGCUAGAGUAAGGUAGAGGGGGAUGGAAUUCCGCGUGUAGCAGUGAAAUGCGUAGAUAUGCGGAGGAACACCGAUGGCGAAGGCAAUCCCCUGGACCUGUACUGACGCUCAUGCACGAAAGCGUGGGGAGCAAACAGGAUUAGAUACCCUGGUAGUCCACGCCCUAAACGAUGUCAACUGGUUGUUGGGAAUUAGUUUUCUCAGUAACGAAGCUAACGCGUGAAGUUGACCGCCUGGGGAGUACGGCCGCAAGGUUGAAACUUAAAGGAAUUGGCGGG